rnacentral:rRNA from 1 species
CCUACACAUGCAAGUCGAGCGGUCGCACAAAGAGCUUGCUCUUUGGUGACUAGCGGCGGACGGGUGAGUAAUGUCUGGAAAACUGCCUGAUGGAGGGGGAUAACUACUGGAAAAGGUAACUAAUACCGCAAAACGUCGCAGAACCAAAGGGGGGGACCUUCAGGCCUCAUGCCAUCGUAUGUGCCCAAAUGGGAUUAGCUAGUAUGUGGGGUAAUGGCUCACCUAGGCUACCAUCCCUAGCUGGUCUGAGAGAAUGACCAGCCACAUUGGAACUGAUACACGGUCCACACUCCUACGGGAGGCAGCAGUGGGGAAUAUUGCACAAUGGGCGCAAGCCUGAUGCACCCAUGCCGCGUGUAUGAAGAAGGCCUUCGGGUUGUAAAGUACUUUCAGCGAGGAGGAAGGCAUUAAGGUUAAUAACCUUGAAGAUUGACGUUACUCGCAGAACAAGCACCGGCUAACUCCGUGCCAGCAGCCGCGGUAAUACGGAGGGUGCAAGCGUGAAUCGGAAUUACUGGACGUAAAGCGCACGCAGGCGGUCUGUCAAGUCUGAUGUGAAAUCCCCGGGCUCAACCUGCGAACUGCAUUCGAAACUGUGAGGCUAGAGUCUUGUAGAGGGGGGUAGAAUUCCUGGUGUACCGUUGAAAUGCGUAAAGAUCUCGAAGAAUACCAGUGGCGCAAGCGGCCCCCUGGACUUUCACUGACGCUCAUGUGCCUAAUCUUGGGGAGCAUACAGGAUUAGAUACCCUGGUUAUCCACGCCGUAAACGAUGUCAACUUGGAGGUUGUGCCUUGAAGGCGUUGCUUCCGGAGCUAACGCGCUAAGUCGACCACUGGGCGAGUACGGCCGCAGAGUUAAGACUCGAAUGAAUUGACGGGAGCUCG